rnacentral:rRNA from 1 species
AACGAACGCUGGCGGCAGGCUUAACACAUGCAAGUCGAGGGGCAGCAGGUCUGUAGCAAUACAGAUGCUGGCGACCGGCAAACGGGUGCGUAACACGUACGCAACCUUCCCGUUACUGGGGAAUAGCCCAGGGAAACUUGGAUUAAUACCCCAUAUUAUAUUGGUUAGGCUUCUGACUGAUAUCAAAGCUUCGGCGGUAACGGAUGGGCGUGCGGUUGAUUAGGUAGUUGGCGGGGUAACGGCCCACCAAGCCUACGAUCAAUAGCUGAUGUGAGAGCAUGAUCAGCCACACGGGCACUGGGACACGGGCCCGACUCCUACGGGAGGCAGCAGUAAGGAAUAUUGGGCAAUGGACGAAAGUCUGACCCAGCCAUGCCGCGUGAAGGAUGAAGGUCCUCUGGAUUGUAAACUUCUUUUAUCUGGGGCGAAAAUCGGUUAUUCUUAGCCGCUUGACAGUACCAGAUGAAUAAGCACCGGCUAACUCCGUGCCAGCCGCCGCCGUAACAC